GAAGGAGUCGGGGCGGCGCGCGCGGGGGGAAAGAGGUCGGGGAAGGAGACCGAGGAAACGAUUUCCUCUUUUUUGGGUCGGAAUGUGCGGGGGGAAAGAUUUAGAUAGAUUGGAAUCCUGAGGAAUCCCUCUUUCCAAUUCCGGGAGCAGCCAAACAAGAUGGCUUUGGAAAUUAAUUCCAAUUCCAGCCAAUUCCAAUGAAACAAACAGGCCCUUAUGUUAUUUUAGUUGUAAGAUUCCUGUUAUGUAAUGAAACAUCUCUAGUGAUUUUUCACAUAUUUUAGGAGAUUUUGAAUAUGUUACAUUUCACAUAUUUACGGAGAGAAAUGGAUCGAAUACGGAGGGAUAUAUACGG
rnacentral:lncRNA from 1 species